GAGGGGUGAAUGUAGCAGGUAUAUAAAUAUACAGGAAUGCAUUCCACCAAUAAUCCCUCACGUUUUAUUUUAUUGUUCCAAUAUUAUUUAUUGUCACUUUUAUUUUGGUAUGUUUACUACAAAAGACCGUUUUGGGAGCUAAUGCUUUUAUUUUGAAGUCUUCACUUUCGGCAGUGACGUCAUCUACCUGCGUUGCACCCUCUCUCACUCAGUUGUUUGUAUGGCAGACUGAGACUGGUGUGUUGCAGACGUCCAUGUGUAUUAAUGCUGCUGCAUUAUUGUGUUUAUUUCAUGCAGAGGAAUAAAUACGCCACAGUUUCGGUUAAAGACAACAACCGAAUCUCCUUGUCCAUCAAACACGCACAACACAACGCAGAGUCGUAGCAAGGGUCUGCUGAGAAGUAGGCCCAGACCGGCUAC